GAUGAACGCUGGCGGCGUGCCUAAUACAUGCAAGUCGAGCGAACAGACGAGGAUCUUGCUCCUCUGACGUUAGCGGCGGACGGGUAAGUAACACGUAGCUAACCUACCUAUAAGACUUAGCUAACUUCGGGAAACCGGAGCUACUACCGGAUAAUAUUGUUAACCGCAUGGUUCAGUAGUGAUAGACGGGUUUGCUGUCACUUAUCGAUGUAUCCGCGCCUCGUUAGCUGGUUGGUAAGGUAACGGCUUACCAAGGCACCGAUGGGUAGCCGACGUGAGAGGGUGAUCGGCCACACAGGAACUGAGACGCGGUCCAGACUCCUACGGGAGGCAGAGGUAGGGAAGCUACCGAAAUGGGCGGAAGCCUGCAGGAGGAGUGCAGCGUGGGUGAUGAAGGUCUUCGGAUCGUAAAACGCUGUUAGUAGGGUAGACCACUUGUGUAAGUAACUAUGCACGGCUUGACGGUACCUAAUCAGAAAGCCACGGCUAACUACGUG
rnacentral:rRNA from 1 species